rfam:Schleiferia thermophila str. Yellowstone contig00019, whole genome shotgun sequence.
UUGCAUCGGGCAAGUCCCAUACAACCAGCUCCCCGUGAAUCCCCCAGGUCAGGAAUGAAGCAAGGGUGUCGGGUUGUAGCGGUGUGAUAUGGUAAGCUUGCCCUUCU